rnacentral:rRNA from 1 species
GGAUCAUUACCGAGUGCGGGUCCUUUGGGCCCAACCUCCCAUCCGUGUCUAUUAUACCCUGUUGCUUCGGCGGGCCCGCCGCUUGUCGGCCGCCGGGGGGGCGCCUUUGCCCCCCGGGCCCGUGCCCGCCGGAGACCCCAACACGAACACUGUCUGAAAGCGUGCAGUCUGAGUUGAUUGAAUGCAAUCAGUUAAAACUUUCAACAAUGGAUCUCUUGGUUCCGGCAUCGAUGAAGAACGCAGCGAAAUGCGAUAACUAAUGUGAAUUGCAGAAUUCAGUGAAUCAUCGAGUCUUUGAACGCACAUUGCGCCCCCUGGUAUUCCGGGGGGCAUGCCUGUCCGAGCGUCAUUGCUGCCCUCAAGCCCGGCUUGUGUGUUGGGUCGCCGUCCCCCUCUCCGGGGGGACGGGCCCGAAAGGCAGCGGCGGCACCGCGUCCGAUCCUCGAGCGUAUGGGGCUUUGUCACAUGCUCUGUAGGAUUGGCCGGCGCCUGCCGACGUUUUCCAACCAUUUUUUCCAGGUUGACCUCGGAUCAGGUAGGGAUACCCGCUGAACUUAAGCAUAUCAAUAAGCGGAGGAAAAGAAACCAACCGGGAUUGCCUCAGUAACGGCGAGUGAAGCGGCAAGAGCUCAAAUUUGAAAGCUGGCUCCUUCGGAGUCCGCAUUGUAAUUUGCAGAGGAUGCUUUGGGUGCGGCCCCCGUCUAAGUGCCCUGGAACGGGCCGUCA